GGGGAUGAUCCGGUUUCGACGGGAGUGUCGAGGGCGGGAUAAGCGAGCCGCGGCCCCUGAACCGCGCAACAACGGGGAAAACAAGUAACUGACAAUAACGAAUUCGCUUUCGCGGCUUAAUGCCGUGACGUUGGCCCGGGCUGCCCACGUGCCCGGUAACUGACGUCAUUUACGUGGGGAACGAGCACACCUAAGCUUUGCAGUGUGUCCGUAUCAUGAAGCUACUGAAGCUGACAGCCUGUCUGUGGGCGGUUGGCAGAGGGAAUGUUAAAUCAUAGACUGCGCUCGGAGAAGGUUCCGCACAAGAGCUUUCGGACAGGGGUUCGACUCCCCUCAUCUCCACCA
rnacentral:tmRNA from 1 species